GUGCUCGCUUCAGCAACACGUAUACUAAAAUUGGAACAAUACAGAGAAGAUUAGCCUGGCCCCUGUGCAAGGAUGACAUGCGAAUUCAUGAAGCAUUCUGUAUUUUU
ensembl:snRNA Rnu6-856 RNA, U6 small nuclear 856